ACAGCCAUAGGCUCUUACAACCAUCCAUCUCUCUCGAGAAAUGGCCUCAGUCUCAUUUAAACCCAAAAAGUUGUCUGGUUUGCUUCCCCACACCUCUUUCUCUCUCACCACCACCUCUCUCCCUCUCCCUCACGGCCUCUCUCCUCUCUCUGUCACGGCACCUCUCUCUCUCUCUCUCUCUCUCCCUCUCCCCACUACCUCUCUCUCUCCCUCCCUCUCCCUCACGGGCUCUCUCCUGUCUCAGGCUGGGAAGCUUGGAUCUAUCAGAGAUUUGGGUUUCGUUUUUGAUGGGCUGGGAGUGAAGGGGUUGUGAUAGGAGGCUGAAUGCAACAAUCUGGUGGUGUUACAGUGGAGAUCUGGAUUGUUGGGUCUCAAGUAAAUCAGGUAGCUCACAGAACCUGAAAAUUAGAUGUAGGUCAAAACCUUUUCAACCAGACAAGAUGUCAUCAGCUUCGAGAGAGGAUAUCCACGCCGCACAUGUCCACGUUGCCACUUAUCAUGUACAUAAAGUUAUCCAGCCAACCCUGGAAGAUUGUACUAGCGAUGCCCAGGGUUACUUCUUUUUAGUGGUGCGACGGAUAUGUAGAAGGGCUGAACUAGAAUGUGAACUUGAGGAUUCGUAAUCAAUCACAUGCAUUGCAAGAACAUCCCAUGGUCAAGCCCGAAUGGAUGAUCAUUCAAGAUUGAAUUGUUGAUGAUCUAUGGCGUAUACAACAAUUUCUAUUAUUUUGUGUGUAACAAAUACAUGUAUUUUUGUGCUACUACUUCUAAAAAGGUUAUGAGGGGAAUAUAGUGUGGUCCUGUAACUCAAAAAACAAUUUCCUAUGAUAUUAGCGUGAAAGGCUAUGAACCUUGUUAUUUUUAUUGUUUUGUUAUCGAAUGACAUGUAAUGUAUGUGAUAUUUUUGCAGUUU